AUUAGGGUAAGUCCUAUACGACCAGCUCCCUCUGAAUUCCCCCAGGUCCUGACCGAAGCAAGGGUAGGAGGUUGUAGCGGUGCGAUAUAGACCGCUUACCCU
rnacentral:SRP_RNA from 1 species